rnacentral:rRNA from 1 species
AGUGAACGCUGGCGGCAGGCCUAAUACAUGCAAGUCGAACGGCAGCACAGCAGAGCUUGCUCUGUGGGUGGCGAGUGGCGGACGGGUGAGGAAUACAUGGGAAUCUGCCCAGUCGUGGGGGAUAACGUAUGGAAACGUACGCUAAUACCGCAUGCGCCCUAAGGGGGAAAGCCGGGGACCGCAAGGCCUGGCGCGAUUGGAUGAGCCCAUGUUCGAUUAGCUAGUUGGCGGGGUAAAGGCCCACCAAGGCGACGAUCGAUAGCUGGUCUGAGAGGAUGAUCAGCCACACUGGAACUGAGACACGGUCCAGACUCCUACGGGAGGCAGCAGUAGGGGAAUAUUGGACAAUGGGGGCAACCCUGAUCCAGCCAUGCCGCGUGAGUGAAGAAGGCCCUCGGGUUGUAAAGCUCUUUUGUCCGGAAAGAAAGCAAUCGGUUAAUACCCGGUUGUUCUGACGGUACCGGAAGAAUAAGCACCGGCUAACUUCGUGCC